rnacentral:rRNA from 1 species
CGGUCUGCCGAUGGGUACGCACUGGUCGGAGCGUCCUUCCUGCCGGAGACCGUGCCUACUCUUAACUGAGCGGGGGCGGGAGACGGCACUUUUACUUUGAAAAAAUCAGAGUGUUUCAAGCAGGCAGCUCGUUCUUGCAUGGAUUAGCAUGGGAUAAUGAAAUAGGACUUUGGUGCUAUUUUGUUGGUUUCGAACACCGAAGUAAUGAUGAGAAGGGACAGUCAGGGGCACUCGUAUUCCGCCGAGAGAGGUGAAAUUCUCAGACCAGCGGAAGACGAACCACUGCGAAAGCAUUUGCCAGGGAUGUUUUCACUGAUCAAGAACGAAAGUUAGGGGAUCGAAGACGAUCAGAUACCGUCGUAGUCUUAACCAUAAACCAUGCCGACUAGGGAUUGGAGGAUGUUUACUGAUUGACUCCUUCAGCACCUUAC